AGCGAACGCUGGCGGCAGGCCUAACACAUGCAAGUCGAACGGAUCCUUCGGGAUUAGUGGCGGACGGGUGAGGAACACGUGGGAACGUGCCCUUUGGUUCGGAACAACUCAGGGAAACUUGAGCUAAUACCGGAUGUGCCCUUCGGGGGAAAGAUUUAUCGCCAUUGGAGCGGCCCGCGUCUGAUUAGCUAGUUGGUGAGGUAACGGCCCACCAAGGCGACGAUCAGUAGCUGGUCUGAGAGGAUGAUCAGCCACACUGGGACUGAGACACGGCCCAGACUCCUACGGGAGGCAGCAGUGGGGAAUCGUGCGAAAUGGGCGAAAGACUGACGCAGCCAGGCCGCGUGAAUGAUGAAGGUCUUAGGAUAGUAAAAUUCUUUCAGCGGGGACGAUAAUGACGGUACCCGCAGAAGAAGCGCCGGCUAACUUCGUG
rnacentral:rRNA from 1 species